AGCGAACGCUGGCGGCAGGCCUAACACAUGCAAGUCGAGCGCCCGUGGCAACACGGGAGCGGCAGACGGGAGAGUAACACGUGGGAACGUACCCUUUGGUUCGGAACAACCCAGGGAAACUUGGGCUAAUACCGGAUAAGCCCUUACGGGGAAAGAUUUAUCGCCGAAGGAUCGGCCCGCGUCUGAUUAGCUAGUUGGUGGGGUAACGGCCCACCAAGGCGACGAUCAGUAGCUGGUCUGAGAGGACGAUCAGCCACACUGGAACUGGUACACGGUCCAGACUCCUACGGGAGGCAG
rnacentral:rRNA from 1 species